UACGUAGGGGGCUAGCGUUGUCCGGAAUCAUUGGGCGUAAAGAGCGUGUAGGCGGCUUGGUAAGUCCGCUGUGAAAGUCCAGGGCUCAACCCUGGAAUGCCAGUGGAUACUGUCAAGCUAGAGUCCGGAAGAGGCGAGUGGAAUUCCUGGUGUAGCGGUGAAAUGCGCAGAUAUCAGGAGGGACACCAAUGGCGAAGGCAGCUCGCUGGGACGGUACUGACGCUGAGACGCGAAAGCGUGGGGAGCAAACAGG
rnacentral:rRNA from 1 species